rnacentral:rRNA from 1 species
GCCUACGGCCAUACCAGACUGAAAGUGCCUGAUCUUGUCAGAUCUCAGAAUUCAUGCAGACUUGGGCCUGCUUAGUACUUGUAUGGGAGACCAACUAGGAACCUCAGGUGCCGUAAGCU